AUACUGCACAAUGUGUACAUAAUGUAUGUAUGCUUACAGUUUAAAAAUACUUCACAACUAAUUUAAUUGAUUAUACUGAUUAUUACUCUAUUUUUCAGGUUGGCAUAUCAGAUUUGUGAAGUGGAAUCACUUUUUUGUUAUAUGAUGUUAAAAACGUAUGCAAUGCGAGUUCACUAAACUUAAAACUCUUACCUAGCCAUUCAAAAUAAAUUCUUCAAUACUAAAUUACUUCAUCAU
rnacentral:lncRNA from 1 species